rnacentral:rRNA from 1 species
AGUGAACGCUGGCGGUAGGCCUAACACAUGCAAGUCGAACGGCAGCACAGUAAGAGCUUGCUCUUACGGGUGGCGAGUGGCGGGCGGGUGAGGAAUACAUCGGAAUCUACUUUUUCGUGGGGGAUAACGUAGGGAAACUUACGCUAAUACCGCAUACGACCUACGGGUGAAAGCAGGGGAUCUUCGGACCUUGCGCGAUUGAAUGAGCCGAUGUCGGAUUAGCUAGUUGGCGGGGUAAAGGCCCACCAAGGCGACGAUCCGUAGCUGGUCUGAGAGGAUGAUCAGCCACACUGGAACUGAGACACGGUCCAGACUCCUACGGGAGGCAGCAGUGGGGAAUAUUGGACAAUGGGCGCAAGCCUGAUCCAGCGAUACCGCGUGGGUGAAGAAGGCCUUCGGGUUUUAAAGCCCUUUUGUUGGGAAAGAAAAGCAGCAGGUUAAUACCCCGCUGUUCUGACGGUACCCAACGAAUAAGCACCGGCUAACUUCGUG